GGACGAAAGUCUGACCGAGCAACGCCGCGUGAGUGAAGAAGGUUUUCGGAUCGUAAAACUCUGUUGUUAGAGAAGAACAAGGACGUUAGUAACUGAACGUCCCCUGACGGUAUCUAACCAGAAAGCCACGGCUAACUACGUGCCAGCAGCCGCGGUAAUACGUAGGUGGCAAGCGUUGUCCGGAUUUAUUGGGCGUAAAGCGAGCGCAGGCGGUUUCUUAAGUCUGAUGUGAAAGCCCCCGGCUCAACCGGGGAGGGUCAUUGGAAACUGGGAGACUUGAGUGCAGAAGAGGAGAGUGGAAUUCCAUGUGUAGCGGUGAAAUGCGUAGAUAUAUGGAGGAACACCAGUGGCGAAGGCGGCUCUCUGGUCUGUAACUGACGCUGAGGCUCGAAAGCGUGGGGAGCAAACAGGAUUAGAUACCCUGGUAGUCCCAA
rnacentral:rRNA from 1 species